rnacentral:lncRNA from 1 species
UUUUUUUUUUUUUUUUUUUUUUGCUUUUUAGGGCCACACCUGUGGCAUAUGGAAGUUCCCAGGCUAGGGGUCAAAUUGGAGCUGCAGCUGCCAGGCUACAACACAGCCACACGAACAAGGGAUCUGAAUGGCACCUUCGAUCUACACCACAGCUCACGGCAAUGCUGGAUCCUUAUUCCACUGAGCGAGUCCAAGAAUAGAACAUGCAUCUUCAUAAAUACUAGUCCAGUUGGGUUUGAUACUGCUGAGCCAUAAUAGGAACUCCUGACAUGCAGUGACGAUUAAAUACAAUGAGCUAAUAUGUGGGAGCUCCCACGUCCCUAUAAAGGUCAUGUAAAUGGUUAUUAUUUUGUUAUCCUGUUCUUGGCUUUGCUAUAAAUGUUUCUCUGUGAGCUUCAUGAAGCCAAGCUCCAUGAAGGUCCUUUCUGCUUUAUUCAAUCUGUACUCAGAGGAGCUCAGAGGCAGAGAGGUGCCUAAUAGAUGCUCUUCUAAACAACACUUCCCCUUGUCUUGCCUACUUUUACCCCCAGGAGAAUAAGCAUUGCCUCUGCUUCCAGUUAAUGACUAUCAACUACCUCAAGGGCUCAGCUUCUCAAUGAUUUCCUGAGCUGGGAGACAAUUAGGAGAGUUCCCCCAUAGCAAAGUGGGGCUCUGCAGAGGGACUGCUGCAGCUCAGGAAUCCUCUGCUCUGGGCCCAAGUGCUAGAAGCUUCUUUCGUGCUGCAUCUCAUGUGCACAGUUGAGUCUGAAAGUUGCGUGUCUAUCUCAGGUUCCACACAUUAUUGCUUAACUGUGCAGCUCUGCCUCUCAUCAUUUGGCGAACACUGGUGUGCCAGGCAUUGGGCAAGACCAGGGACAUAGAGAUGAGCAAAGCAGCCUCUGCCCUGAAUCUGUUGGAAGAAAGACAAGUAAAUUGAUAUCAUCCACACAGGGCUCUGAUUCUGGGGAACUGAAAGCAAGCACAUGGGUCAGCUUGAUUCCAGAAGCUCUGGUCUCAGGUAGUAUGUGAUUGACUGUUGCUUUCUACUUAUUUACUAUAUGGCAGCUUAGUCUGCUUGUAUGUGGCUUCAUCUGCUCAAGCCUCCUCUGUCAUCUACCUUCGGGCUACUCUAAGUGGGCGUCACUGGAUCCGCAGCCUCUGCACCCCUGGCAACUUUCUAGAUAUGUAGCCUCUCAGACCCUCCCGCCCUGGCCUACCAAUUUGGAAUUUGGAAUUUGCAUUUUAACAAGAUCUUCAGCUUAUUCAGAUCCAUGUUAGUGUUUGUUAUGCCUUGACCCUUUGAAGGUUUGGGGUGAGAUAAAUGAGGUGACAUAGGCUCAGGAGUUGGCACAAUAGGUAGUCUCAUAAUAUGAGUCCCCUUCUUUUCUAUAGGAUUCAUUUCAAAUGAACACAUUAAGUGCUGCUGGAGUCACAUCACAGCUUACAUGGUACUAGGAAGAGAAGUGGCUGGAAGUAAGUAACACCGUAGAGCCACCGCCUCUAGGGUCAUCCGUAAUGAUGCUGAAAGGAAGGGCAAUGUUUUCAGGGAAGAUUCCAACUGAAAAGUCAGUCCUCACAACAACUUCCCAGUUUUUCUCAUGGACACAAGAGAGAAGGCCAAUGUCAACAGGCAGAAAGCAAAAUGUAUAGACAAAUAAGAGCAUUAUCACUGGGAAUAUUUGUCUGCUAUGGAAGUGAACAGAGGUAGAGACACACAUGGCCAGCAAAGCACAAAUAGCAGAAAGAGAAGCACAAUCCUAAAAAGAUUGUGGGUUGCAAAAUCCAGAAGGUCCUCCAAAUAGCCAAUGAAUAUAGGAAAAUAUACUCAAGUUGAGUAGGUAUUAGGAACAUAUUAGCUAAGGUACAAUGAAGUAUUGCUUUACCUUCCAACUAGCAAGAAUUAAAAAGAAUAACACUUCUAGAGUGGAUGAGAGGAAAAGAGGACUCCCAUAAUUUGUUAAUGUGAAAAGUUACAGCCUAUGGAAAGCUCUUCUUCUCUCUAUAUAUACAUGCAUACACAACAUGCAUAUAUACACGCAAAAAUGCAUAAUUACAAUAGAGUCUAACAUUGUUCGAAACAGCAAAAAACUUGUAUAUAUUUGGAACAUUCCACACCGUGAAGUCUUAUGCAGCCAUCAAAACGUAUAAAUGGAAGCGAUGCUAGUUCAUUUAAAAGGCUAUCUGCCAAGGGUUACAGAGAAAAGCGGGUGUAGAGAAGUAUGAAUAAUAUCAUUCCAUUUUAAGAAAACAGAUAACAAAGACAACCCUACACUGCAGUCUUCAUUCCUCCCCUGCACAUCAGCUCUUGACCCUUGACCCUUUCCACUCUGAUCUGCACCCUAAGUCUGACCUUUACAGACCAGACCAUCGGGUUCUCUGAAACUGAUGACUUCCGAUCAGGCUCAGCCAAUCAGAAGUGUGGGUAGGAAAGGGAAGUCAGAAAUGGCUGAGUCUAGGUAUAUCAGAACUUCUCUUAAGAUAGCCUUUUAUUUAUGACUUUCUAUUAAUUUCUGCCAACUCCUUCCCCCCUCCCUUUAGUCUCAGUGUGUAAACAGCCCUGGGGUAUAGCUCCACUCCUUCUAGUUUUUGUCACUCUGUUUGUACUUUUAUAAAUAAUCCCAUUAUUAGGUUCUCUUGGAAUGAUCUUAAUUGAAAGUUGCCAUCUGUUUCCUGCUGUGAUCUUGGCUGAUACAAUCUAUAUAUACAAUAUACAAUUGUAUAUGUAUAUAUUCAUAUUCAUAUAACUGCAUAAACAUGGAGAACAAUAGAAGGCUCUAUACUAUGUGGUUACAGUGCAAUACAGAAACUGAGGGGAAGGGACAAAUGCCGUGGGAAUAAUGGUGGGUAGAAUGGAGGAGAGGGAACUGAGAAAAAAGGAAAAAAAAAAAAAAGAACCUGCACUAAAUGAAGGAAAAUCAAAAAAACAUGAAAAAACCUGUACAUGUUUUCACAUUUAACAUUUUAUACAUUUAUAUAUAUAUUCAAAUCUAGUUUUAAAGAUACAAUGGGCAAUCAGACAAAAUAGACAAAACAAUACAGAUUUCCUGGGUCCCAGGGUAAUGGAGGAAGCAGAGUGGGAAGCUGAACAUCUGGCUUUUAAAGCAAAGGAAAUAUUCCUAAUAAGAGGCGGGGUGUCCCAGUGGAAGAUGAGGUUCUUAAGCAAAUUGAUGGGUUAAUAAAGAAUAAGAAUUCUUCUCUUAGUGAUUGAAUAUAUUCAAAGAGAAUAAAAAGCAACACAUACAAAAAAAAAAUCUCUUUUUAGAAGCUUCCUUUGCUGUAUGGAAAUGAGGAGCAACAAAAUCAUAGUUGAGAAAAUGGCCCAUUCUUAUAUUGUAUUUGUAGGACAGAGCAAAGAAACACACACAAAAUUGGUCAAACAUUACUGCAUUUUAUUCAGUGAUAAAAGGAAGACAUGAUGAGAUGGGACACCCAGGAUUCGAGAGAAUGGUUGACUUGGCAUAAGACCAGUUUUAUUAGCCAAGAGUGACAAGAUGUAUUGAACAGAGGUGUCAGAGCCGUGAGAAGUGUAUAAAGCAGAAGUCCGGAGCAGAGAGGGCAGCCAAGCUCAUGAAGGCUGUAGCUCGUGCUCCAGAAGAAUGCUUGUGCGCUUCGUGUCUGUCCCUGGAAUCAGACUCAGUGAGAAUCAGAAUCACUUUCCUAAUAAGGCAAAGUGAUCACAGCACAAUGGCCAAGAAAUAGGCAGGCACGUUAUGGAACCAUUUUGUAAGCCAUUACAGGUUUUGCUGAAGGUCGUUAGUAAUCAGAGGGUAACUUUGAAUCUGAUUUAAUCAGAGGACUAAGGAGAGGAUGGAUCUAUCCUUCAUGAAAUGUUAUGUUUUUGUCUCUAUGAAGAAUAUACCAGAAACUGUUAAUAGGAAUUUCUUCUGGAAGUGGUGUUGGGAGGUAAGGAAUGAGGAGGAGGGAUUUGGCUCUCCUGCUUUAUCUCUUGUACUGUUGAAAUAUCUUGACCUGAAUAUACUAUUAAUUUUAUUAUUUAAAAUAAGAUGAAAUUUUAUUUAUUUAUACACAAGUUACCACUUUACUGGAGUUCCUGUUGAGGCUCAGUGGUAAUGAAAUCAACUAGUUAGUAUCCAUGAGGAUAUGGUUUAGAUCCCUGGCCUCGCUCAUGGGUUAAGAAUCUGGUGUUGCCAUGAGCUGUGGGGUAGGUUGCAGACUCAGCUAGGAUCUGGCAUUACUGUGGCUGUGGCCAGCAGCUGAAGCUCCGAGUUGACCCCUAGCCUGGGAACUUCCAUAUGCCACCCUAAAAAAAAUAAAAACAAAAACAAAAACCUUACCAGUUUAUAUUUGGCUUUUGGAAUAUUAUGAGCUUAAUAAAUAUUUAAUUAAAUUUCAAAAGAUAGGAAAGGAUGGAAUUCUAGAAGGACACUUGCCCACUCCAGAGGAAGCCUUGGGGAGAGAUCCAAUCAUAGACUGUCCAGUGAACAUGUUGCAUGUUCUGGGGAAUGAACAUGCACUGACUGGAGACACUGGGGUGACCCUUCAUCUCUACCUUUAGUCUCCCUUUAACAGAAGAGUUACCUUAUUACAUGAUGCCUCCAUUGACAAUUGAUUUGGUGUUAAUGUCCCAGCCAGAGACAAAUCAGCUAACAACCAAUCACAGAGUAUGACACAAUGGUUCUUUCUUCCCCUGGAGAAUAUUAUUUCUAAACAAAUUCAUACUGGGAUGUUGAAUGCAUUGCAGAUGGAAGGCGUUUCUAACACAUCAGUGAGUAUUUAUGGAUCACCUUAAGCUGCAGAACUGUGAAGCUGGAAGAGGACCCGAGGAUGGUCUAACCCUUUAUUUUAUGCAUGGAGUAGCUGAGGGACUGAAGAGAGUAGAUACUUGCCCGAGAACACUUAGUAAGUUUUACAAGCAACAUAAUUUCAAAGCAGACCAACAAUUAAGACCCAUAAAGGAAUCUGUCCAAGAUCAAGAAAGGAAACGACUUAUAAAUAUAAUAGCCCAGUUACCGGUUUAUAGCAUAUAUUAAUUAACGGAAAUUGUACAACCUCCUUCAAACAACACACACACACACACACACACACACACACACACACACACAUCAUCAUAACAACCCAUGGAGGCACAUCCACCCUGCAUUUGUAACCAGGAAAAUGGCCUUGUUUCUCAAACUAAAGAGACAAUAGGGACAAGGGCCAGCAUAAUUAAUACAGGAAGGCAUUGUUCCCCAAGCUCACCCUUCAUUUUCUAAAAUCUUUAUUCCCUGCCUCACAUGUCAGUUCCUGGUGCCAACUGAUUUCACAAAUAUAGAGACCCAUCUCGGAGAGUCCUGAUUCCAGACCUCCAGCCAAGAGCAACUUUACCGUUCCUGUCUUGCUAACAAUCAUGUCACAAGCUUGGACUGGCCACUGAAAGAGUGAUCAGUUGGAAUGACAGCCUUUCGGUUCUGCAGAAACUACACAACCAACUCAAACAAAGAAAUAGGAGUUCCUGGAGUCAGAAAACACGGAUCCCCUCACUCUCUGACAUUCCGUCUUAGCUUGACCCUGAUGGAGAGAUGCAGGAUACUCAGUGAGAGUGUGGCAACGGCACGACAACAGAAGUGGAAAGAUGCUGAUUCUCAGCCACGCACACAGCAGGCUGGAAGCUGAUCUUUGCUGGUGUAAUAGUGUUCUACCUGAACUAGUUAAUUCAGUUGAAGCUAAUAUAAAUUCUCUUGUUUAUAUGAGAGUAGUUGGGAUUGCUAAUUAUGCUUUUGGCAAAUUCUUUAGAGGACAGCUACCAUACGUGGACUGUUUUGAAUGAGUCUGAUCAAAUACUAAGAUCUGGUCCUCACCCAUUAACAACUGGGUGGAUACUCUUAACAAAUUAACUUCAUUCAGAUAAGACCAAAGGCAACAAAUAAUAUUUCUAAAUACUCUAAUGAGAAAGUCUUAUCCCUUAGAAGCAUUUUUUUCCCCUGUAUUCAUGAGUCAUUCUUUCUCUUCUGUCUUUCAUUUCUUGGCUUGUUUUCACCUGGUUCCAUCUCAUGACAGAGCACUGAGUGUUCAAACAAGUAGGCUGCAUAUAUUUAGAGGCAAAAGUAAGUUAUGUUACUUCUCUGUUCCUUGGAGGUAAUAUAUACUAUCAGCCAUAAAAAAGAAUGAAAUAAUGCCAUUCGCAGCAACAUGGAUGCAACUAGAGAUUCUCAUCCUAAGUGAGUUAAGUCAGAAAGAGAAAGGUAAAUACCAUAUGAUAUCACUUCUAUGUGGAACCUAAAAUAGGACACUAAUGAACCUAUGUUCUACAGAGCAGAAACAGAUUCAAAGACAUCAAGAACAGACUUAUGGUUGCCAAGGGGGAGGGCAGAGGGAAUGGGAUGGACUGGGAGUUUGGAGUUAGUAGAUGCAAACUAUCACAUUUAGAAUGGAGAAGCAAUGUAUCAUAUGUAUAGCACAGGGAACUAUAUCCAGUCUCUAGGGAUAGACCAUUAUGACAGAUAAGGAAGGGAAUACAUGUGUGUGUAUAUAUGACUGGGUCAAUUUACUAUACAAUAGAAAUUGGCACAACAUUGUAAAUCAACUACACUUUAAUUCAUUAAAAAAGGAGGAAAAUAGUAGACCUUAUCUGAUAGGAUUUGGGUCAGGAGUAAAUUCACUAAUAUAUGGUGAAUAAUACCUGGCAUAUAGCAAGCACCAUGAAAGUACUUGUAAUUAUUAUUUUUUAGAUAGGAUCUUAAAAGCUUUGAAUGGUUCACACACACCCCUUGCCUGCACCUUUAAAAAUUUUAAAUUCUCAGGUCCUUGAAGGAUUUCUGCUGCUUCUCUGGUCAUUCACUGAUUAAACUAAAGUUCCUAAAUUCUCUCCUCUCUCUCUCUCACACAUACAGUCAUGAACUUUCAUUGUGCACUAUAACAUGUAUUAAUUAUUCUCACAUUUCACAGUUAUAUUAGUUCCAGAGUCUUCUCAGUGGAGGUCUUGACUGGGGUUACCUAUAUGACAAGAAUUGUGGAAGUUGCCAGGGAUACAAAGUAAAAUAAGAUA